rnacentral:lncRNA from 1 species
UAUAUAUAUAUAUACUCUUUUCUUUCUUCUUUGAUAUUAAAAAUGUCAAUUAAGACGUUAAUUUAAUCAACAAUUUCAAUUAAUUAUAAAACUUUUUGUGACUUUAAGAGACUGUUAUUUAUUCUCUUCUUGUUUGUCGGCAAUUAAUGAUUAAAAUGGAUGGGGCCUGGCCCUGAAAGCACAUCGAAGAGCGGCGGAUUUGCGAAACGAUUUAUUCGGACCGGCUCGCGCGAGCUAUACGAGAUCGCGUAGCGAAAGUUAUGAUUUAGCGAGGAAUAAUCGCCGGCCGGACCGCGCGCGGGGCGAAUCUAAAAAUAAUCCCCUGUAUAUACGUAGUGUGUUUCACUGGUACUCCACCUAUACACGCGUAAUCUUCAAUAUACAUACAACACGCCAAUGCGUACGUGAUGCUAAGAUAAGCUUCGCACAUUCUCUCUCUUUCUCUCCUUGCGCGGUCAUCUCUCACUCCUUUGUGCCACGAGACGGGUCGACUGGUGAUGAAUGCUUGAAAAUUUCACAGCGGCGAGCAAUGAGCGACCGUUAUGCGACUCAUCCGCGAUCGUCUUAGAGCAUAAGGGAUACUUUCACAUUCCCAAACGUCGCGGAUUCGUUCGCUGAAUUUAAUUUCGACGCCGAGAGUUAUACGCAAUCGUCAUCGAGCGACAGAUUUUUUUCUCUCUCGCAGGCCACAAUGAAACUCAACGGCCAAGUCACGCGACCGCUUUCACAGCAAUCCUAUAUCUUUCACAUUGCGCGUGAAAAGAAGAUGUUUGUAAAAGCGAACGAGAAAAAUAUUUCGCGAAAAAGCCUUUUUAAAUAUUUAAAAGACAGAUCGACAAAACACCUUCUUUUCACGCUGUAAUUUUCCACUGCAAAUAUCAAUGUAAUAAUAGUAUAGAUUUUUCCCACACGUGUAUUACUUGCUGAUACGGAUAUUCGACUUCUUCGAGCUGUACUCUACUCGUCUCGCUCGUAUCAUGACAUAUGAUCUCGAUAAAUCGGAAUGUGACGCAACCGAGAUGUAAUCGAAUCAUGGACAGUUAGGGUUAUGAAUUAAUUCAAUUCUGACUAAUUCAGCCAACAUGAGAAUGUACGCUUGACGGAACUCGCACGACGGGAUCGCACUUAACCGAAUCGAGCCAAACGAAUCGAACCAACUUGGAAGUGUGCGCCGUACUGAAAAAUAGGUAAAGUUUCGAGCGCUACGCUUAUCGGCACUGAUGACGCGCGUGUAUACACACACACACACACUUGUACACGAAUGCAUAAACAGCACGCACACAACGCGCGCGCGCAAAAUUACGUACGCGAAGCAGCUACACACGAGCAGACGUUCACCGUGGUGUAAUAUCGCUACAAGCCUGCCGCAGACAACUUACUUUAGAAAACACCGUUCCUAGAACGUCAGUCAAUCGUUUACGCAAUCUUCGAACAGAAAUCUCGAGUUCCGCUAUAUGUGCGAACGUAUGUCAGCCACGCGCACAUUUACGAACGUGAACGCGAGAGCAAGCGGUUACGAGACACGAUACGAAAAAAUUGGAGCCAUUAAUUUCAGAUUGAGAACGUAACAUGAAGGAAGAUACUCAACGAUACCCGCACGAAUCUCGAUCACGUUCCGUGACUUGGUUCUCGGCUGGAAGCGUAGUGGCUCAUUACGUUUGUCAUGUAAGCGGCAUAGGUGCGGACGGCGAAAUGUCGGCGUAAACAGCAGCACGUCAAUCAUUCGUUUACGCAAUACACGACAGCGCGGAUCGGUGCGCACACGACGUUACACCGCGCGUUGUUACGUGUACGUGAGAAAUUUCUCUUUUCCCACGUGGCACUCUGCGGAAGAAGAAGCUUCAGCACGCGUAAAACCGACGUACGUACAACGAGAAAUAGAUAUGCGGCAAAUUCUUGUGCCACACGACUAAGGUGCUGCGGGCACGCCUAAGAAAAUACGCUGCAUAAGUCGCCGAUAGUCGAGUUCUAAACGUGAAAGACGAGAUUGUACGAUCCUGUCUCGGUUCGCGGCGAAAGAGCGUCGCUCAUUACCACCGUCAUUAUCGCGCUGUUGUGUCGCUGGAGUCUUUGUCAUCGUUAUCAUUGCGCAACUCUCAGACCACCGGGGACGCAUUUGCGCGUAAUCGUCGUGGCGACGCGCGAUCUCCACGCGAGUGAGAGCAGCUCGCGUAUCUUUACGAACUUUCACGCUAAUUUAAGUUUCACAAAAAGUUACAACUGACACCUUAAAAUGUUUAGCGUUCGUAAUAUUAAAAAAAAAAAAAAUAACGGUGACUAUAUUAACGAGAACUGUAAUGACACUACAAUUAGAUACCAGAAGAAUUAUCUUAAUUAACCUUAGAAUACUUCUCAUAUUCUUGAAUCAACGAUAACUGGAUGAAAAUCCAACAUAAUUAAGAAUUUGUCAUGUCUUUUUUUUAUAUAUUACAGAUUGUUAAAAUAAUUAGUUCUUUCAACUAACUCUUUUAAUGUACAAAAAUCUUAUUAUAAUAAAUGUCAUUUUAAGCUAUCAAAUUUUUAAUAUCAGAAAUUAUACCAGAACUUGAAUUACCGCUUGGGCGAAAAUUCCAUUACAGCAGCCAGGUAUUCUAGGUUUAACAGUUUAUAGCAUUUCUCUCCUCUCUAAAAGAGAAGAGGUAUAAAAAUUAAAAAAAAGUGUACACGUUCUAUUAACAUUUACAAAAAAAAAUCACAAAUUUCUAUACGGUCAAUAUUUCGGUAGGUUCUCAUUUAUUCAAGCUACAGGAUGAGAGCUGUAAAUAGCCUCAUUUUAAUUAUAAUUGAUACGAAAUACUUUAGUAUUUCGAUAAUCGAUUUCUGAUGCGAUAGUGGCCGCAGAAUACGCCAAUUGUUCCAUUAAUUUCGCUAAUAGAAGUUACCGACGUGUAAUUAUUUCUAGAUAAUGACAUAAAAUAUAUUAUUAUCAUUUCGAUUCGUGGUUGCGAUCAACCGUGGAUCGAUGUCCGCCAAUUAAAGUCUCUCUUCUCUCUCUUUCUCUUUACCCUUAGUGCUUUGAAAACGUAUAUUCAUUACUGCGUACGUUAAUGACAUGUAAACAUUAAUUCACUUACUAAUAAAACUUUUUCAUUGAUAUUUAUUGUUUAUCAUUCGUCUCUUGCCUACCUUUUAUUUCGUGAAAAAGACCUUGAAAGAAAUUCUUUGUCCGAAGAAUAUGAAAUAAAUUACUGUCCGCUAUAUCACGACUCUCUCUUCCUUAUAGAGGUCCGGAAAUCUUUCGCUUUCCACGGUAGAUCGCCAGCAGGGUCUUUAGCCCUUUUGUCGUGGAAGCACCGAUUUGUUUCGUGGAUUUAUGAUCGGAGCGGCACGCGCCAAGAAGAUGACUCGGAAGUAUUCGCUGCUCCUCUCGCUUUAAAUUUGAAUCAACGAAACGGCGAUGUAUUAUGUUUCCGCGCUCAAAAUUUGUACUGAUUUGAUAAGGAAUCGUUGAUUUUUAUACUCAUCUUCUUACUAGAUUUUCCCAAAAAUCUGUACAAAUAUUUACAAGUAUCGUAAACGACAAACCAACAAUUGCCGGUUUACAACGCGUCAGGCAAAGUGAUCGCGUCGCGGCACACUUUAUCUCGCAGCAAUCCGCUUCGCGGAUUUACGGUUGUUUCGGUAAGAAAAGCCCCACGACGAUCGAUGCUCCAAGUCAAUGUCUAAUUCGAGAAUUCGAUACAUCAAUCAACAACGUAGCUGACGCGUAGCAAUUGUCUCCGACAGAUACGUCACUCAAUCGAGAAUCGCACUUAUCCUUCACGCUGUUAAAAUAAUCGAUACAUUGAAAUUGUGAUUCAGUGUUUAAAGUUAAACGGAGGAGAGUGCGAGCGGGUGGGAUGGCGUCUAACAAUUUCGUCGCGAAUCUUUCGUCCCGCCGCGUGAGAUUAAUGAUCAUUCGUUGAUCGUAUUUGUUGAAUGUUACAUCGAGAGCCUCUUUGGGUAUUUUAUUAUGGAGAUAAUAAUCUGUCUUUUCCCGCAGAUUUACAAUGUUGAAACACGAACCAAUUCGGUCGAAGUUGAUACUAAAUUCCAGUCAAGGAAAUGGUAAAUAGUCAUCUUUCAACCGUGACAUUUCUGAAAAUAUAACUGUAUCUUUAUCCUCUAAGACACGGCGCCCCGUUUAUCUCGAGCCAGUUUAUCGCCCAAUGGCUACAAGAGAAAAUAAAUUGGUAGAAAUGAAUACACUUCCACACAUAAUUUCAAAAUCUGUACAGUUUGUUACGAUGUUAACUGUUUUGUAUUCGGGUAAAAAUUAGUUUUCACGCGAAAAUGAGAGAAUUAUUUAUAUCAAUUAAUUAUUCUUUUGAGUUACAAUUACAAUAAGAUUAUGUAAAUUAUUUUUAAAAAAUUCCAGAGAAUAAAGAUGGGUUUUUACGGAUGUUCUGCAAGAGUGUCUGUAAGAGUUUAAUUGACAUUGUUUUUUUGUCACUAAUCGACUCGAUCAGAGAUGCCUCCGACAAAAACGUUUCUCAGCCAGUUCGCGAAUCCGUCCAUCCAGGAAAGGUUUAGACAGCUAUCUCAGCCAGUCGCCACGGGCAUUUAGGCCUUUUGUCACGGCUGCACCGAUUUGUUUCGUGGAUUUACGGUCGGCAAGGCACGAGCCAGGGAGCUCUGAGACUCUCUUCCUCUCUCGGUCGCGCAGUCAUCGGUAUAAGUUAAAUCGGGAAUGGCGGGCCGGGAGGCCGUCAUGCGGGAGGCGCGAUGGUAUUUUUAUCGGGUUAAAUAUAGGUAAACCUCCUAUACGGAACGCCAUACCAGUCGCCGCCGCCGCCGCCGCCGUCGCUCCGGUGGCUACCGAAGAGAAUCGCGAGAGAAGAAGCAAGAGGAAGAAAGAGGAGAUCCGGGGCGUAACUACUCGUUAACGGGCCGCACCGGCUGGCUCUUCUUCGGGAUACCCCAGGGUGUCCCGUAACCGCAAAGGAGCACUCGUGGAAAAAGAGAGGUGGGCGAGAGAUCCCUUGAUUAAUACCGUAGAAAUGAAUAGCUUUCCUCCCGCGAAGUCGCGUUAUUCUAGCAGUGUGAUCGACGUACGAUCCUUGAGGCAAGCGCUGUAUCUUAAUUGCUACGAGGCGUAAGCCGUAAUAACAUUUAAUCAUCCUCGAUACCUGAGACACGCAGACAUUCGCAGACGUUUAUCGAGAAAAUGACUGCGUGAAAAGAACACAGACAUAUAGUAUGUACGCAUAGAGGAAUGUGUGUUUAGAAACUUCCCAAUCCAAAAUUAUGAUGUAUGUAUGUGUCGUUUGUCAAAUCGUAAUUGAGAUGUGACGGUUUCAUAAAUCAGACAACGUGCUAGAUUAUCUGAUUAUCAAGUAUCUUGCGGAGAAUUUUUGCUAAGGAUAUCUUAUAUCUCGCGAAAUAUGAGAAACAGAGGACUUUACUUUUGAUGAUUUGUAUUGUACAUUAGAAACGUACAUUAAACGCACAUAUUGUGCGUAACCGAAAUGAGCCGUUUAGAUGCACCGCUUAUUGCUGCUUCACGUGGUGCUUUGUUAAUAGCGCUCGCCCUUGUUUACACCAAUCGUUUGUAUUGCGGCGAUAACGCGGACAUUUUUCGGACGAACGGUUCAGCUCCUAGCCGCUUUUAGCGGACCGUACAAUAUAAUCGUACUACCAUAGGGCGGUGUCCCAUGACCGCAAAGAGCUUCCGCAGAGGGAGAUGGAGGGAAUGUAAUUUGAAUUCGAUUCGAGGGCGAAUCACCCGACAGACGCACGGGGUAGUAAAGCUCCACUAUCGCCGUUGCUGCUCGACACAGAUUCGCAUAAAAACUCCCGUGUUCUGCCAACCUGUUUCCUCUUUCGCUACAACCGCGGACAUUCGUAGUCGCAUUGGCUCUAAAUAUUGCUUUCUGAAUAUCGCUACGGACAUAGCGCUAAAAUACGCUUGUUCAGUUCAACGUUAUAUAGAAGUUUUGAAUAAAAAAAGUCUUUUAUGUUAAAUAAUGUUACAUCCUAAUUAAUAAUCCGGGAUUAUUUUUCACUUGAUAAAUCGCUAAUAUUCGUUAGCUGUGAUAAUUUAAGAUUUUCUUAACGAAGAAUGUUUUCUAUUUUUUUUUUGUAUAAAGAAUCUUUAUAAAGUAUAAUCGAGGUAUUCCAGACUUACAUUCAAGCGGAAUCUAUGGCCUAACGGCCUCAAGAAAACCGGGAAUACGACCUUCUAGGAAACGUCUAGCCUAGUGGGUGGUCAGGUGUUUCCCGAAUAGCAACGAUGCACCGUACUACUCUGUUCAGUUACCAAGAAAGAUCGUAGUAUUUCACUUCGAGACAUAGCCAUUCAUUUAUUCCGCAUUCAUUAUACCACUCCUACAUACUUAUAGCAUAAUAUAUACGUAUCGUUUCACCUUUGCCCCUCGCUUCUAAACAAACAUACUAAUUAUGCAUUUUCUCUAUCACGAGCGAUAUCACAUCGUACAGCAACAAAGUGAUCGAAUGAAGGACGGUACGUGAAUCAAUUUUAUAGUAAUUUAAUCGAUUAUAAAGAUACGAGAUAAUUUAUUUUUCUACAUUUAUAUGAAAAAAGAAACUCGCGCGAUUUGUGCGAUUUGAUUUCUUAAAUCCUAAAUCUCUUUUUCUAUUACUUUCUUCUUCUCUACUUAGAAGUACUUAGAAGUACACAGAAAUCGUAAAUAUAACAUUGAAUAUAUAACGUUAGGUGUCUUUCUUUCUUUCUUUCGGACGACGUUAAAUCGCAACAAAUCAUCGCUGCAAUCAAAGCUUUCGUCUCUUCGACUUCGUCUGCGGGCAGGCUAUCCUUAAAACUUUAAUUUUGAAUUAAAAAGCGGUUGAAGCACAUGGAAAAAGUCAUUAAAGUACGUGAAUUCUUCCAUUUUUUACAUCCAUAAAAUAAAUAGGCAGUAUUUGAAUAUAUUAUCGACUCAUGAAAAUUAUUACAAAAAUAAGUAGAAAUAAUAAAUUAUAAACUUUUUCAUUUACGAAUAAUUACUAAAUGUACGGUCAAGUAAAACUUGAUACUUGAUGGUUCAUAAUUUAAAUGCUCACAUUGAUUGAUAAAAAUAUGUAAUUGGCUAAAUUAAAGAUACUAAAGCAACAUUAAACAUUCCCAUUGUUAUGCAACUGUCAAUUUUACGUAUUACGAUUUUUCCUACACAAAAUACAAGUGCCCGAUAUGUCGCAUUGUAGAAUAUCAGUAUUUUCCAUUAACAUUUUUUCGUUUCAUUAGCGAGAAUAAUCGCAAUUUAAUUAUUAACGCAGUAAAAGGCAGUUUGAUGAUAAUUCGGUCGAAAAAAGGGAAUUGUAGAAAAAUGCAGGCUUUUACACUUGUAACACGGUCGUCACGACACACGUACAAGAUGUUAAAGUAUGUCGCCUAAUCAAGACUCCGCUAUCGCGGUCUCUCUGUGAUUUCAGAGUGGCCCAUCACUGCGUUUCCGGCUGGUGAUAACAAAUGGUUUCUUUAAAAAAAAAA